rnacentral:rRNA from 1 species
UGGAUCUAGACUUUGAUUAUGGCUCAGGAUGAACGCUAGCUACAGGCUUAACACAUGCAAGUCGAGGGGCAGCAUGGAGUUUGCUUGCAAACUUUGAUGGCGACCGGCGAAUGGGUGAGUAACACGUAUCCGACCUGCCCGUUACUAGGGGAUAGCCCUCCGAAAGGAGAAUUAAUACCCUAUGUUAUGCAGAUGUUGCAUGGCAUUUGCAUUAAAGAUUUAUCGGUAAUGGAUGGGGAUGCGUCUGAUUAGGUAGUAGGUGAGGUAACGGCUCACCUAGCCGACGAUCGGUAGGGGUUCUGAGAGGAAGGUCCCCCACAUUGGAACUGAGACACGGUCCAAACUCCUACGGGAGGCAGCAGUGAGGAAUAUUGGUCAAUGGGCGUAAGCCUGAACCAGCCAAGUAGCGUGAAGGAAGACUGCCCUAUGGGUUGUAAACUUCUUUUAUACGGGAAUAAAGUCAGCCACGUGUGGUUGUUUGCAUGUACCGUAAGAAAAAGCAUCGGCUAAUUCCGUGCCAGCAGCCGCGGUAAUACGGAAGAUGCGAGCGUUAUCCGGAUUUAUUGGGUUUAAAGGGAGCGUAGGCGGAGAGACAAGUCAGUUGUGAAAGUUUGCGGCUCAACCGUAAAAUUGCAGUUGAAACUGUUUUUCUUGAGUGCACAUGAGGGUGGUGGAAUUCGUAGUGUAGCGGUGAAAUGCUUAGAUAUUACGAAGAACUCCGAUUGCGAAGGCAGCUAUCUGGGGUGCAACUGACGCUGAGGCUCGAAAGUGUGGGUAUCAAACAGGCUUAGAUACCCUGGUAGUCCACACGGUAAACGAUGGAUACUCGUGGUUGGCGAUAUAAUGUCAGUCACCAAGCGAAAGCGAUAAGUAUCCCACCUGGGGAGUACGCUGGCAACAGUGCAACUCAAAUGAAUUGACGGA